UGUAAUACAAUAUGAUUCAAUGAAAUAUAAUUUUUCUUUCUUCUUUCUCCAGAUUUCAAAAAUUCUUUAUGGUAUUAGAGCAUUGAUCGAAGGGCUGUUUGGAGCUGUAAAUCGUCAUUCAUUGCAGAACAACAAUGGUGGAACCAUAGAGUUUAGAUACAAAAGAUAAUCCGCAAACAAACCAUAAUCAUCCACUUCAUCUUGAAACCUCAGAUACUCCUGGUGUUGCCUUGAUUCCUAUGAAGCUCACAGGGCCAGAGAGCUAUGAUGUUUGGAGUAGUUCCAUGCGAUUGACACUUCUAGUAAAAAUAAACUAGGAUUUGUUGAUGAAACUUGUGCUAAAAUCUCAUACAAAGGAGACUUGAAAAUUCGAUGGGAGAGGUGUGAUGCAUUUGUAUUAUCAUGGAUUAGAGCAGCUGUAGCACCAAAACUGAUGACAAGCUUUGUAUAUGCUUCUAGUUCGAAGAAAAUAUGGAGUGGUUUCAAGGAAAAAUUUGAUAAAUCGAAUUUGACUAGGUUUUUCAUCGUGUGGUUGAGAAGAGUCAAGAUCACACGUCAAACAACAAAGGCCGUUGCAGUUUUUGGUUGGGCUGAAUGAAAGUUAUACACAUGUGAGGAGUUCUAUCUUACUCAGUCCUUCUGGGUAAAUCAAGCCUAUUUCAAUAGAGUUAAAGGAAGCUAAGGCAGACAAAAGGAGGAAAAUAACCUUUCACAAUGAUGGUCGGAAAAGGCAAUUAUUCAUAUAAUUACAACAAUCAGAAUUAGAUCAAUAACAACAACUUUCAAGCUAAUAAGACACAGGGCAUACUUCACAAGGGAGGAUAAUUGGAUUGGUAUGUGAUCAUUGUAGGUAUAAUGGUCACAUUAGAUACAAUUGCUAUAAAAUUGUGGGAUUUGUUGCUGACUUUAAGAUAAAAGGAAGAUGUCUGUAAAUGAGGCGUAUGCAAAUACCUCUACUUCUCUGUAAUCAGAUAAAGCUGAAGCACCUAGAUCUGGAUCCUUAUCCCAAAUAUAUUUCACAAAGGACCAAUAUGAUCAGGUUGUCAAGAUGAUGAAGUCUCCUUCACCAUCAGAAACUUGUACGACCAAUGCAACAAGAGGCUCUCUGUACUGGAGAGGUAAUUGGGAAUGGUAAAGAGGAGGAAGACUUAUACAUUCUAAGGCAUGAUGCCAUAACUACUGUUGAAGCAGUGCUCAACAACAAAUUCUUAGAAGACCAUAGACUUUGGCACCUUAGACAGAGACAUCCUUCCUUGAAAGUAAUGCAACACCUUCCUGUGUUGCAGAAUAAAGUUUGAGAAAGUCCAAGAAGACUGCAUUAUUUGUCCUUUAGCAAAGCAAUAGUCUUAAAUUUCCUUCUAGUGUUUCUCAGGACUUCAAAAAUGUUUGAGCUGGUGUAAGAUGUUUGGGGGCCACAUCGAGAUCCCACUUAUGAAAGAAAACAUUAUUUUCUGACUA